rnacentral:rRNA from 1 species
UACAGAGGUCUCAAGCGUUGUCCGGAAUUAUUGGGCGUAAAGAGCUCGUAGGCGGUGUGUCACGUCGGCCGUGAAAACCUGCAGCUUAACUGUGGGCGUGCGGUCGAUACGGGCAUCACUGGAGUUCGGCAGGGGAGACUGGAAUUCCUGGUGUAGCGGUGAAAUGCGCAGAUAUCAGGAGGAACACCGGUGGCGAAGGCGGGUCUCUGGGCUGACACUGACGCUCGAUGCACGAAAGCGUGGGGAGAAACAGG